rnacentral:rRNA from 1 species
AUUGAACGCUGGCGGCGUGCUUAACACAUGCAAGUCGAUCGGUAACAGGUGUAGCAAUACAUGCUGACGAGAGGCGGACGGGUGAGGAACGCUUGGGAAUCUGCCCAUCAGCGGGGGACAACCCGGGGAAACCCGGGCUAAUACCGCAUACGCUCUACGGAGGAAAGCCGGGGACCGCAAGGCCUGGCACUGAUGGAUGAGCCCAAGUCGGAUUAGCUAGUUGGCGGGGUAACGGCCCACCAAGGCGACGAUCCGUAGCUGGUCUGAGAGGACGAUCAGCCACACUGGGACUGAGACACGGCCCAGACUCCUACGGGAGGCAGCAGUGGGGAAUAUUGGACAAUGGGGGAAACCCUGAUCCAGCGACGCCGCGUGGGUGAAGAAGGCCUGCGGGUUGUAAAGCCCUUUCGGUAGGGACGAAAGCUCUCGACCUAGCACGUCGGGAGGUUGACUUAACCUACAAAAGAAGCACCGGCUAACUCUGUGCCAGCCGCCGCGGUAACAC